rnacentral:rRNA from 1 species
GACGAACGCUGGCGGCGUGCUUAACACAUGCAAGUCGAACGGAAAGGCCCUGCUUGCAGGGUACUUGAGUGCCGAACGGGUGAGGAACACGAGUGUGAUCUGCCCUGCACUUCGGGAUAAGCUUGGGAAACUGGGCCUAAUACCGGACAGGAGCACUUCUCAGUGUGAUGGUUGGAAAGUUUCUUCGGUGUAGGAAGAGCGCGCGGCCUAUCAGCUUGUUCGUGGGGUAAUGGCCUACCAGGGCGGCGACGGGUAGCCGGCCUGAGAGGGUGGACGGCCACAUUGGGACUGAGAUAAGGCCCAGGCGCCUACGGGAGGCAGCAGGGGGGAAGAUUGCAGAAGGGGCGCAGGCCUGAUGCAGCGGCGCCGCGUGGGGGAUGGCGGCCUUCGGGUUGUGGACGCCUUUCGCUAGGGACGAAGCUUUUUGUGACGGUACCUGGAUAAGAAGCACCGGCUAACUACGUG